UACCAAAAGGAACGCGAUUCACUGUAGGUUGCAACUUCCGAAGCAAGGUUGCCGAAGUCCUGCGUUUAACACUCUUGCUGUCAGUCGUACUCACAAUUACAAGAUCUUGUAAUACGUAGUCAUCCGCAGCGCACGCAUACAUUUUUUCAUGAAAUGCAUAAAACUUUUUACCGAUCUCACGAAACACGGUGAAUAAAGAACCUUUUUCACGGCUGCACGUGAAAUAGAAAUGGCAAAACACGUUGCACGAAAAUAACCCUUUACCACCCUCUACUUUGUUUACGUUUUCCAAGUUGACGACCGCCAGCGUACAAACCAUACAGCAAAAGAUAUUGGAUCAGACUGUGCUGUAGUUCAGAACCACCCUAGUGUAAAAGCUAUUAACAAUAAUUGUAGAAUUGAAGAAUGGACAUAUUAUAUGGAACUGUAAAACAGAGAAGCUGACUUAAAAGAAAUAUACUUUGUAUGUUGUGUGCUGAUAGAGACUGCCAGAGUCACUGACUUUUAAACAUGUUGUAAUGCAAACAAUUAUCAUAGACACAGGAAAUAAAAAUACAUAUCUUUUA